AUUGAACGCUGGCGGCAGGCUUAACACAUGCAAGUCGAGCGGAGAUGAGGUGCUUGCACCUUAUCUUAGCGGCGGACGGGUGAGUAAUGCUUAGGAAUCUGCCUAUUAGUGGGGGACAACAUUCCGAAAGGAAUGCUAAUACCGCAUACGCCCUACGGGGGAAAGCAGGGGAUCUUCGGACCUUGCGCUAAUAGAUGAGCCUAAGUCGGAUUAGCUAGUUGGUGGGGUAAAGGCCUACCAAGGCGACGAUCUGUAGCGGGUCUGAGAGGAUGAUCCGCCACACUGGGACUGAGAGACGGCCCAGACUCCUACGGGAGGCAGCAGUGGGGAAUAUUGGACAAUGGGCGGAAGCCUGAUCCAGCCACGCCGCGUGUGUGAAGAAGGCCUUUCGGUUGUAAAGCACUUUAAGCGAGGAGGAGGCUACCUGGAUUAAUACUCUAGGAUAGUGGACGUUACUCGCAGAAUAAGCACCGGCUAACUCUGUGCCAGCCGCCGCAGUAAAAC
rnacentral:rRNA from 1 species